rnacentral:lncRNA from 1 species
GGGAGGCUCCGACCUCCCCUCACCUUCCUCCUCUUGGCCGCCGCCUCCUCAUCCUCCUCAUCCUCCUCGUCCACGUAUUUCCUGCGGGGAGGGGGCGGCUCAGGACCCCCCAAAUUCCCCCCAAAACCCCCCUAAAAAUAAAAAAAAACCCUCACCCUUCCUUCUCCAGCACCACCUUCCGCUCGUAAUCCUUCAGGAACAUCGGCCGGGCCGGGCGCUCUUCCUCCCCCUCCUCCUCCUCCUCCUCCUCCUCCGUGGAUUCUGGGGGGUCCGCGGUGAGUUUUGGGUGCCCCCCCCGGGUUUUGGGGACCCCCCCGGGGGGAUUUCGGUACCGUGGGUGAAGAACGUGGUGUCCUCCCGGUAAAUUCGGGGGUCGCGCGUCUUGAGCAGCGCCAGGGUCCGGUAAAAUUCCCGUUCCUGCCGGGGGUCCCGGGGCUGGGGGGGACCGGCGGGGGGGCUCAGAGGGGGGGGGCCGGGGGCCCCCCGGGCCCCCCGGGCCCCCCCCCCCGAACUCACCACAUCGUCCCCGCUGGACUCGGAGCUGUCGCUGUCGCUGCUGCCCGCGGCGUCCCCGUAACGGUCCCGCACUGCCGGGGGCACCGGAGCCGCUCCGAACCGGCACCGGGGGGGCACCGGAGCCGCCCCGAACCGGCACCGGGGGGGCACCGGAGCCGAUCGGCACCGGCACCGGGGGGGCACCGGAGCCGCUCGGCACCGGCACCGCUCAGUACCGGUUCCCUCCCCCGACCGCCGGGCCCGCUCCUGGUCCCGUUCUCCCUUUCCGGGCCCGGUUUCCGAUCCCGUUCCCGGUGCCGUUUUCUCCAUUCCCGGUCCCGCAGCUCCUCCCGCCGCCGGUACCGCCCGGUCCCGCCCGGUUCCCCCGUUCCCAGCCCCGUUCCCGGUGCCUCACGGCGCUGCAGCUCCUCCCGCCCGGUUUCCCCGUUCCCAGCCCCGCUCCCAGCCCCAUUCCUGCCCGUUCCCGGUGCCUCACGGCGCUGCAGCUCCUCCCGCCCGGUUUCCCCGUUCCCAGCCCCGCUCCCAGCCCCGUUCCCGCCCGUUCCCGGUGCCUCACGGCGCUGCAGCUCCUCCCGCCGCCGGUACCGCCCGUAGCGCUCCGCGAACGCGGCGUUCACGCGGAGCUCGGGCUCCGCCAUGGCCGCCCACGUGACCGCCCGGCGCUUCCGGAUCCGCCGCCACGUGACAGGAGCGCCCCGCCCCUCCCUCGGUCGGCCACGCCCCUUCUCGCUCUUAAAAGGGCAACGGCGCCCUAAGCAGUGAGUGGGGCCCGCCGCGCCCCACAUCGCCCCUCUCAGUGGGACCCCCAAACUGGAACCGGGAUCCCCCCACUCUGCUCGCACUCGAGACCCCCCCAGACCAGCCGGACACGGCCUCAGCUCCAUCUUUAUUGGGGCAGAGGAGGGGGGUGGGCGUGGGGGGGGGAACUCCAGAUGGGGGGGGUCCAUGGGGGUCGGGGGGUCCAUGGGAGACCCCCUCAGCUGGUGCGAAUCUGGUAAUCUGCAAGAACAGAGAGAGGAGGUGAGGAGGGGGCCGGGGCUGGGGGGUCUCAGGGGGAUCUGGGGGGUCCCAGGGGGAUUUGGGGGUCCCAGGGGGAUCGGGGGGUCCCAGGGGGAUCGGGGGGUCCCGGGGGUCGCGACUCACCCCCGCUCUGGGUGAUGUAGCGCACCCAGGGCAGCGCCUGGUACCCGCUUUUCUCGAUGAUCUUCAUGUACCGCACCUGGGGGGCACCUGGGGCAUUACCCCCACCCCAAAAACCCCCGGAGUCUCCCCCCCAUCCUCUCCCCAAAGCCCCCCAGGAUCCCCUCCUUGAGACCCCAGACCCCCGGAC